rnacentral:rRNA from 1 species
GCCGAACGCUGGCGGCGUGCUUAACACAUGCAAGUCGAACGGAAAGGCCCUGCUUUUGUGGGGUGCUCGAGUGGCGAACGGGUGAGUAACACGUGAGUAACCUGCCCUUGACUUUGGGAUAACUUCAGGAAACUGGGGCUACUACCGGAUAGGAGCUCCUGCUGCAUGGUGGGGGUUGGAAAGUUUCGGCGGUUGCGGAUGGACUCGCGGCUUAUCAGCUUGUUGGUGGGGUAGUGGCUUACCAAGGCUGUGACGGGUAGCCGGCCUGAGAGGGUGACCGGCCACAUUGAGACUGAGAUACGGCCCAGACUCCUACGGAAGGCAGCAGUGGGGAAUAUUGCACAAUGGGCGGAAGCGUGAUGCAGCAGCGCCUCGUGCGGGAUGACGGCCUUCGGGUUGUAAACCGCUUUCGCCGGGGACGAAGCGUGGGUGACGGUAAUGGGGAAAGAAGCACCGGCUAACUACGU